GGGGCGUUAGCUCAGUCGGUUUAGAGCAGUUGACUUUUAAUCAAUUGGUCACAAGUUCGAAUCUUGUACGCCCCACCA
rnacentral:tRNA from 1 species